rnacentral:lncRNA from 1 species
AGUCUCAUGUUGCCCAGGCUAGCCUCCAUCUCUGGAUGUGUGGAAGGAUGAUCUUAAAUUUCAGAUCCUCCCACUUCUACCUCUCGAGUGUUGGAGUUACAGCCAUGUACUGCCAUAGUUGGUUACACAGUGAUGGGGAAUCAAACCAGAGCCUGAUGCACGCUGGAUAUGCACUCUACAGCCAAGGUAUAUCACCAGUCCCAUCAAUAUUUUCUUAAAUUGUCUUUGAAAUGCCCUGUCAUCAAGAAUUAAGGAAUACAAAAAAAGUGGGUGUGGAGUAAGGAAACUACCAGAAUCUUUCUCUUAUUGGAUCAACUAAACUUUGAUGUAUUUUCCUCACCUCUAGCCCUGAGGUAAACUUGUAGCACUGGUCUUGAUACACAGUAAGUGCCCAGUCAGUGUCAGCUCUCUGAUACAACAAAAGGUUACUCAUUAUUCUCUGAGUGGCUCUUCCCAACUAAGAGACACUGAUUGCAGCCUGUCUUUUAAAUCACAGCGUAGUCUUUGGGUUUUUUUGUUUCUACUUCUUCACAUUGGACUUUCUGGAAACUUCCUCCAGUGUUCACCUCUCUUGGCCUAGGGCAUCUGGACACUUUACCUGGGCAGCCAGGUGUCAGUCCCAUAGGGCGUGUUGGACUCAUUCCUGGAUUGGCAGGUUUCUGAUUUCUUCACCGGAUCACUCCGGAGCUGGCUCUUUUUCCAGUGGCUUCCUGUCACCUGAAACGAGAGCUCACAGCUUCAGGAGGAAGGUAGAAAUUUGAGGUGGAGAAGGGCGAGGCAGAUGCAAGAUGCAAUUACAUCCUGCCUCCUCCACCCCUCAACCGCCCCACCCUACGCCUGGGGAGAAGUCUAGAGUCAGGGUGGGGAGCUGUUUAUCUCAUCCCUGUUUCUCCCAGGCUGUGCAGUCUUGGACAAGGCACUUGACUUUACUCGUGAAGUUAAAAUGAAGCACUUAGGGUAGAUCCUAGUCCAGGGCCUUGGGAAUCCAGACAAACACAAAAGGGUGAAGACACAGAAAUCAGACAAGUAAGUACAAGGCAAGGAGAAAGUUCUGGAACAGAUCAUCACUCUCAAGCCUCAGACGUGCACAGACUCUCAGCUUUCCAGCAUCUAUCACCCCCAAAAUGGGAAACUUCUGCCCUUGGCUGCACUUUGUUGCAACAGACCUGGCAGAAGUCCAAACAAGACAAAAAGCUGAUUCUGCAGCCUACCCCUGCCUGCCAGCUGAUCGGCCUUGUUCAAGCUGGAGAACCUCUGGAGAGUCCAGCUCUGUAUGGGGUUCUUUCUUCCGAGCAAACCCUUAAGCUGUGGGAGGGCUGGAUCUGUGUGAUCUGACCUGUACCUGUCCCGGGCUUCCUUGCAGCUCCCCUGAGACAGCUUUUCCCUGUGAAGCUAGCCAGCAACUCCCAUCAGUAGCAGGCAAGAAUCCCAGGACUCACUCGACGAACCAGCCUCGUCUGGCUGGAUUCUUGAAGAACAUAUGGAGUCACCCUAUUCCCCUAUAGCAGCUUCAACUCUCAGGUUCUCUUUCUUGUAGCCCAUCUCCUGGGUCCUCGGUGGUCCCUGGGGGUCCCCGGCAAGAGGCAGGUUGUUUAGGCCAGCCAGAUACCACUUAAAGAGACCCAAUUCAAAACAUAACCGUGUGCGACUCAACUUACGGUCAGGCUCUGAAUCUACAAGAAUUUCAUAAACAAGUAACAUUUAAAAAAAUGGUUAUCGAUGAAGGAAAAAAAGAACCUGAAGAAAUCAGAUGAUGUGAGGGAGGUUUAGGCAAGACCUUUCA